UCUGGUUCUUUCUGCGUGUAGUCGUUACCAGACGGUAGUAUCUCCAGUCACAGUUCCUUGUUGUCUAGCAGUGUUUGCUAACCUCACUCUCACACACACACACACACACACACACACGAUUCAGAGUUGCGCUCACGGAUAGGCGAGAGCCAAGAAGAAUACAAAUGCUUUACCUACUAGGAAUCAUCAUUGGCAUCAUUUUCAUCAUUAUGUGCUUUUCAAACGCCCUGAAGCCGGGAAAAGGCAAAUCGGAUUAUAACUCGGUAAACAGCAGAAAGAGGGAUUUAAACGAAGAGGAUCUACACUUGUUGGCUAAAAUCCUAUCGCUUGGACUGGUGGAUGCAGAUCCCAACUACCUUCAACAUCUCAAGUGUUUCAGGGACUUACAUGGAGGAUCUACCUGAUCGCAUUACACUGGGGCUUACGGGAAAUCAUCAAUCUUCUGGAGGAAGUGGCGCAUAGAUCAUGUUUGACAUAUCGGCGGAUAUGAGACGAAACAUACAAAACAGGUUGAACCAACUAGCACUGUACACUGCUGUGCACUGUGUUAUUGCAACUCCAGCUGUUAAACUAACCCACGUGCUAUUGGCAGAACUGGCUAAAUGUGGGCAGAAGCCUUUGCUUUGAUCAAUAAUGUCCCUGUCAAUGAAGUGGGACCAGGGACUUAAUGCUGGAUGUAGGCCGACUCAAAUUGGUCCAGCUUGAGUCUGUAGAUCUACUAUGGCCUCUGCCUCCCAGUGUUAUUGAUGUGUAAUUGAUCACUGAUGUGUAAAUAUGUAAAACACUUCACAUUUGUGUAAAUGCUGGUUCAAUAUCUGCAUUUAGAAAAAAAUAUAGCAACAUAUGAAUACGCACAGUAAGAGAUGAGUAAUUCAGCGCUCAAUUGGACAUGGUUUAUUCAAUUGCUCAUGCUAUUUAUAAUGAAAUGAUUUGUACAUCUUCAACCCUUUUUAUGAAAGUUGGAUAUAACUUCAGAGGUAUACAUGUUCAAGCUAUUCCUUAUUUUUAUUUAUGAAUGGCCACAAAAUCUUGAGGUAAUGCAGCAAGUUGAUAAAGUCAAACCAGAAGUCUUGGAAAAACAUGCAACGUUGUGCAACAAAUACAUCAGAUUGUAAAUAGAAGCUCACAAUCACUUUUGUUUAGUCAUUGAAUUCUCCAUUAGUUCACCUAGAAGUGGAGAGAAUAAAGAACAUGUGAGAAAUGAAACACAGAGAAAUAAGUUAUUUAUAUGUUUUACACAAUUAAAUUGUCUGCCCUAUACAUUUUUGACUAGGAGUCAGUUGUGCUUUCUGUUGUUGGAGGAUAGUAAGUGACUUACCCCAGACACAGUAGUUGAGCUUUUCCCCCAGCAGGUAGAGCAGGGUGACCACGGACAUGUUAGAAACGAAGAGGCACAGCAGUCCACCGUGACUGAACAAUCCCAGCAGGGGAUACACCCAGAUACCGACUGACAAGUACACCCAAAUCACCCUGCAGAACAAGUUCACAGCCGCAUAAAAUGUGUUAAUAAUGUUUGUUUCUUAUCAAAAAAUGUAAGUGAAACAUAAACUUGUUUAAAAUGAUGAUCAAUUGUAUUUUAA